UACGUAGGGUGCGAGCGUUGUCCGGAAUUACUGGGCGUAAAGAGCUCGUAGGUGGUUUGUCACGUCGUCUGUGAAAUUCCGGGGCUUAACCUCGGGCGUGCAGGCGAUGCGGGCAAUACUUGAGUGCUGUAGGGGAGACUGGAAUUCCUGGUGUAGCGGUGAAAUGCGCAGAUAUCAGGAGGAACACCAAUGGCGAAGGCAGGUCUCUGGGCAGCUACUGACGCUGAGGAGCGAAAGCAUGGGUAGCGAACAGGA
rnacentral:rRNA from 1 species